CUGGCUUUUUUCAGAUUGUAUAAAUCUUUCACCUUUUACUAAAGAUUUCUAUGCAGAAGAACAACAACAACCAAAAAACACAUUUCUUGUGGAAUGCUAUAGAAUUUA
rnacentral:snRNA from 1 species